GACGAACGCUGGCGGCGUGCUUAACACAUGCAAGUCGAACGGUAAGGCUCCAGCUUGCUGGGGUACACGAGUGGCGAACGGGUGAGUAACACGUGGGUGACCUGCCCUGCACUUCGGGAUAAGCCUGGGAAACUGGGUCUAAUACCGGAUAGGACCAUGGUGUGGAUACUGUGGUGGAAAGUUUUUUCGGUGUGGGAUGGGCCCGCGGCCUAUCAGCUUGUUGGUGGGGUAAUGGCCUACCAACGCGGCGACGGGUAGCCGGCCCGAGAGGGUGGACGGCGACAUUGGGACUGCGAGAGGGCCCAGAAUGCUACGGGAGGCAGCAGGGGGGAAUAUGGCACAAUGGGGGGAAGUCUGAUGCAGAGACGCUGCGUGGGGGAUGCCGGCCUUCGGGUGGUAAACACAUGUCACCAUCGACGAAGGGUUUCUGACGGUAGAUGGAGAAGAAGCAACGGCUAACUACGUG
rnacentral:rRNA from 1 species